UUCCCUUGGAACAUCGUUGGUUUGCAUUCACUUCAUGUGCGCGGACACCAGGCGACUGCACAAGCUGGGAAAGUGAGCUCAAUGUUAUCGGCGGCGUGAUACUUUACUGCUCCGUGCCGCAGUGCGCUACGUACGCGAAGGAACAGGGCGUGAGCUUUCAUUUUAACCCCAAGGAUAAGAAACUGCGCGACGCAUGGCUGAUAAAGCUUCGAAUGGGUAAAGAACCAAGCUCAUAUGCGCGUGUUUAUAGCAAGCACUUGCGAGAAGAAGUCUUCGUGUACGGACUCGGAGCGCAAAUGUUCGAGCCGCUCUUGAAGAUCGUCCACGUGUCUGCUGUAGUAACUGAGACGUUUCGGGAGACAGCUGGACAAAAGAAAAGAAGAGAACAGUCUGAAAGCGUCGACGGUCACGGUGACGGAAGGACGCGGAACGAGAGCAGAAUGAGAAUCUGAGGACAAAGACGUUGUUCGUAUGGAGGGCAAGGCUGCUGCCUAUAACGAGGGAGGUGGGACGCACGGGGGAGCCGGAUGCCCUGAUAUUCCUAAGGAGCUUCUGCGCUACGGACACUACCAGGUGCCUCAGGUA